UACGGAGGAUGCAAGCGUUAUCCAGAUUUAUUGGGUUUAAAGGGUGCGUAGGCGGCCGAGUAAGUCAGCGGUGAAAUUUUGCAGCUUAACUGUAACAGUGCCGUUGAUACUGCAUGGCUAGGAUUUGGUUGCUGUGGGUGGAAUGUGUGGUGUAGCGGUGAAGCGCUUAGAUAUCACACAGAAUAUCGAUUGCGAAGGCAGCUCACAAAGCCAAGAUUGUCGCUGAGGCACGAAAGUGUGGGGAU
rnacentral:rRNA from 1 species